GAUGAAGAACGCAGCGAAACGCGAUAAGUAAUGUGAAUUGCAGAAUUCAGUGAAUCAUCGAAUCUUUGAACGCACAUUGCGCCCGCCAGUAUUCUGGCGGGCAUGCCUGUUCGAGCGUCAUUUCAACCAUCAAGCCCCAGGCUUGUGUUGGGGACCUGCGGCUGCCGCAGGCCCUGAAAACCAGUGGCGGGCUCGCUGUCACACCGGGCGUAGUAGAUUUUAUCUCGCUCAGGGCGUGCUGCGGGUCCCGGCCGUUAAAAGCCUUUUUUUACCCAAGGUUGACCUCGGAUCAGGUAGGAAGACCCGCUGAACUUAAGCAUAUCAAUAAGCGGAGGA
rnacentral:misc_RNA from 1 species